rnacentral:misc_RNA from 1 species
UUUUUUUUUUUUUUUUUUUCAUGGCUUGAACUUCUACUGCUUUAUGAUCUCUUGUAUGUGAAAAAUUAAAGAUCAUUCCCCCUUCCCCAUUCACAUAUACCUUUCGUCCUUCACUCCCAAAAGAAUACUUAUUUAGCUAAAAUAUCUGUUACCAGCUUGCAAUGCCUACCUCACCUGCACUAAAGCUACAAGAAACCCAAAUGCCUCAGAUGCACUAAGAGCAAUUGAUUACUACAUUUUAAUAUUCAUUUCCAGUUAAGAGUUCUUAGCAUAAAGGAGAAAAUA